rnacentral:rRNA from 1 species
GAUGAACGCUAGCGACAGGCUUAACACAUGCAAGUCGAGGGGCAGCGUGGUGUGGCAACACACUGACGGCGACCGGCGCACGGGUGAGUAACGCGUAUGCAACUUGCCUAUCAGAGGGGGAUAACCCGUCGAAAGACGGACUAAUACCGCAUGAAACAGGGGUCCCGCAUGGGGAUAUUUGUUAAAGAUUACAUCGCUGAUAGAUAGGCAUGCGUUCCAUUAGGUAGUUGGUGGGGCAACGGCCCACCAAGCCGACGAUGGAUAAGGGUUCUGAGAGGAAGGUCCCCCCACACUGGUACUGAGACACGGACCAGACUCCUACGGGAGGCAGCAGUGAGGAAUAUUGGGUCAAUGGGCGUGAGCCUGAACCAGCCAAGUCGCGUGAGGGAUGAAGGGCCCCUACGGGUUGUAAACCUCUUUUUAUAAGGGAAUAAAGGGACAUCACGUGUGGUGUUUUGCAUGUACCUUUACGAAAUAAGCAUCGGGCUAAACUCCGUG